ACAUGAGGAGCCCUUGAUGGCUCUGGACCUGUACUUGCUGGAGCUUAGAAGGGGUAGAUCACAUUGUAACCUAUUGAAUAUUGAAAGGCCGAGAUAGAGUGGAUGUGGAAAGGAUGUUUCCUAUGGUGGGUGAGUCUAGGACCAGAGGGCGCAGCUUCAGAAUAAAGGGUUGUCUAUUUAGAACAGAGAUGAGGAGGAAUUUUUUAAGCCAGAAGGUGGUGAAUCUGUGGAAUUCAUUGUCACAGAUGGCUUUGGAGACCAAGCAUUAAGUAUACUUAAAGUGAAUAUUGAUAGGUUCUUGGUUAGUCAAAGCAUAAAAGGUUACAGGACAAAGGCAGGAGGAUAGUGUUGAGAGAGAUAAAAGAUCAGAAUGUGGAGCGGAUUCGAUGACCAAAUAGCCUGAUUCUGCUCCUGUGAUUUAUGGAAUGCAUUCAAGUUGGUUUCUUAAACCAGUACGCACAGGAAGUAGGCAUUUAAUUUUUUUUGUGAUUAAUGAAUGAUUUUGUGGUUAAGGAUUCCCAAGAAAGAUGUGACCUUAGCAUGGUAAAAUUUCAAUUUCAGACCAAGAGUGAGAAACAAGGAGGGAAAGUCCAGAAGCAGAGGGCUCCACCUCAGAAAAGAGAAAAAAGUCACUUUAGGACAGAAAUGAGGAGAAACCUCUAUAGUCAGGGGAUGGUGAAUGUGGACCUCGUUGCUGUGGAGGCCAACGCAUUGGGUAUAUUUACAGCCAAUUUGAUAGGUUCUUGUUUAGUAAGGGUGUAAAUGUUACAGGAAGAAGGCAGGAGAAUGGGGUUGAGAGGGAAAAUAUACCAGCUACGAUCAAAUGGUGGAACAGACUUGAUGGGCUGAAAUGCCUCCCUCUGUUCCUGUAUCUUAUGGGAAAUUUAACAAAUUAGUGAUUUUUGCUUUCCCUUAUCUUUAAUGCAGUUCCCCUCCUUCCUUCUAGUCCAUAUCACUUAUCAACCUGACUCUUCAGUAGUUUAGGAUUCAGGCUCACACAAUACCAUUGUUCUUAAAUUGGUUAUCAGAAGUGGGGAGCGAUUGCCAUCGAGACUUGUCCAAGGUAGUUUCUAAAUGCAAACUCGAAAUUGAAGUGAAGCCCACACAGGUGCCAAGGGGCUGACAAACUGGUGAAGAUGUGCCCCCAGCAGAGGUGGUAUUUUGUACAGAGUGGCAAGGGUAUUGCAGAGGCUUUCCAGAACAACGCUGAGACACGUCUGACUAAGAAUCAUACACCGCGUGACUGGGUCUCCACACUGCAGGAAAUCACAGAUGCUGCCUGACCUGCUGAGUUCCUCCAAUAUUUGGUGUGAGAUACCAAUGAUUACAUUGGAGGCAAAUCGCGUGCUUACAGGAAUAUUGACAUCGAUGGCUGAAUGAUAUUGGGGGAAGAUUUCCUUGAGAUUUCCCACUGGGUCAGCAAUGUAGCCACUCAAUCAUCAAUAUCUAAAUGUUUUAAGUAUAAACUAUAGGCUUAUUUCAUCAGAAACAGUGGCAAGAUCUCUAUGUUUGGCAUCAAUGUUCCUGGAUUAGGAAUGAGGAAAUCACUAAAUAUUUGAGAUACCUUUCUUUAGAUAGCAAGUUAGCCAAUCCUUAUGCAAGUCUAUUUGCAUGAAUAUUGACAGCAUCAAGAAAUGUUUUGCAGGGCUUACUGCCAAGAUUUGUACAAGAACACUGCACCUAGGAAUUCACGUCGGCCAUCCUUUAGAGUUUCGGAGUGGGAGGAAGGGGCUGGAGAGAUAGAUGGAAUGAUAAGCAACUUCACCCUACAACAUUGCAAGAGCUCAC